AUGAACGCUGGCGGCGUGCCUAUUACAUGCAAGUCGAGCGAACAGAUGAGGAGCUUGCUCCUCUGACGUUAGCGGCGGACGGGUGAGUAACACGUGGAUAACCUACCUAUAAGACUGGGAUAACUUCGGGAAACCGGAGCUAAUACCGGAUAAUAUAUUGAACCGCAUGGUUCAAUAGUGAAAGACGGUUUUGCUGUCACUUAUAGAUGGAUCCGCGCCGCAUUAGCUAGUUGGUAAGGUAACGGCUUACCAAGGCAACGAUGCGUAGCCGACCUGAGAGGGUGAUCGGCCACACUGGAACUGAGACACGGUCCAGACUCCUACGGGAGGCAGCAGUAGGGAAUCUUCCGCAAUGGGCGAAAGCCUGACGGAGCAACGCCGCGUGAGUGAUGAAGGUCUUCGGAUCGUAAAACUCUGUUAUUAGGGAAGAACAAAUGUGUAAGUAACUAUGCACGUCUUGACGGUACCUAAUCAGAAAGCCACGGCUAACUACGUG
rnacentral:rRNA from 1 species